rnacentral:snRNA from 1 species
GUGCUCACUUCGGCAGCACAUAUCCUGAAACUGGAACAAUACAGAGAAGAUUAGCAUGGCCCCUGCUCAAGGAUGACACACAAAUUUGCGACACGUUCCAUGUUUUG